rnacentral:rRNA from 1 species
UACGAAGGGGGCUAGCGUUGCUCGGAUUGACUGGGCGUAAAGGGCGCGUAGGCGGUUCGUACAGUCAGACGUGAAAUUCCUGGGCUCAACCUGGGGGCUGCGUUUGAUACGUGAGGACUUGAGUGCGGAAGAGGGUCGUGGAAUUCCCAGUGUAGAGGUGAAAUUCGUAGAUAUUGGGAAGAACACCGGUGGCGAAGGCGGCGACCUGGUCCGAUACUGACGCUGAGGCGCGAAAGCGUGGGGAGCAAACAGG